rnacentral:rRNA from 1 species
UGGGGAAUAUUGGACAAUGGGCGCAAGCCUGAUCCAGCCAUGCCGCGUGUGUGAAGAAGGCCUUUUGGUUGUAAAGCACUUUAAGCGAGGAGGAGGCUACUUGGAUUAAUACUCUAGGAUAGUGGACGUUACUCGCAGAAUAAGCACCGGCUAACUCUGUGCCAGCAGCCGCGGUAAUACAGAGGGUGCGAGCGUUAAUCGGAUUUACUGGGCGUAAAGCGUGCGUAGGCGGCUUCUUAAGUCGGAUGUGAAAUCCCUGAGAUUAACUUAGGAAUUGCAUUCGAUACUGGGAAGCUAGAGUAUGGGAGAGGAUGGUAGAAUUCCAGGUGUAGCGGUGAAAUGCGUAGAGUUCUGGAGGAAUACCGAUGGCGAAGGCAGCCAUCUGGCCUAAUACUGACGCUGAGGUACGAAAGCAUGGGGAGCAAACAGG